rnacentral:lncRNA from 1 species
CACCCCUCUCCCCACCUCCUGUGCUGCUACCGGGAGGCAUCCACUUUUAUCUGUUUCUGUCUUUAGUUCUAAAGCAUAUCCAAAUAAUAUGCUUAUACUGUUCGCCCUUGAUUUAUCAACUUCAGACAUUAUCUUCUGACUUCUGACUAUGAUGGAUGGGGAUCUAGCUCUCUACAGCUCUCUUUCAUGUUGCAGGCUUUCCUCAGUAUCUGGGAAUCCUUGGUUGUUGUUCAUUCGUGAGAAUAAAGGACAAAGAAGUAUGCUUGAGCGCUCUGUGUUUAUGGAUGGCCACUGGAAGGCUUUGAUUAUGGUCUGCAUCUGUGGUGACCGUCUCCCAUUUGGAAAAUUAACUGCUUACAGAUGUUGCGUGUGGCACAGCAUUCUCCCAGGCAGUGAAACCACUGGGGUUUGGAUAUGAUUUCAAAAGGAAGAGGAGGGAAGAAAAGCUGCAUGUCUCUGAU